rnacentral:rRNA from 1 species
UACAGAGGUCUCGAGCGUUGUUCGGAUUCAUUGGGCGUAAAGAGCGUGUAGGCGGUCCGGUAAGUCCGCUGUGAAAGUCCAGGGCUCAACCCUGGAAUGCCGGUGGAUACUGCCGGGCUAGAGUCCGGAAGAGGCGAGUGGAAUUCCUGGUGUAGCGGUGAAAUGCGCAGAUAUCGUAAGGAAGACCAGUGGCGAAGGCGGUUCUCUGGGCCUGUUCUGACGCUGAGGAGCGAAAGCGUGGGGAGCGAACAGG